rnacentral:rRNA from 1 species
CAAACCAAAGCUGGCGACCGGCGCACGGGUGAGUAACACGUAUCCAACCUGCCUCAUACUCGGGGAUAGCCUUUCGAAAGAAAGAUUAAUAUCCGAUAGCAUAUAUUUCCCGCAUGGGUUUUAUAUUAAAGAAAUUCGGUAUGAGAUGGGGAUGCGUUCCAUUAGUUUGUUGGGGGGGUAACGGCCCACCAAGACUACGAUGGAUAGGGGUUCUGAGAGGAAGGUCCCCCACAUUGGGACUGAGACACGGUCCAA